UGACGAGAGAACGAUCAA
rnacentral:misc_RNA from 1 species